UACGCUCCCUGUCCCCAAACUGUCCCCUUAGCUGUCAGAACUGAGGUCUUCGUGGCCCCGAGGAGAAUCGUUGCAGCGGAAGUAAGAAUGAGGGCAUUACGUUCUCGAGUUCUGAGGUCUGAAAGCUGAAGCCCACACAGAAGGAGACCCCUGCGUUCCUGCCACUGGGUCACAUCCUCUGAGCUGGGGCCUCAGGGAUUGGAGGACACAGAGUGUCCCAAAGGGAACGCAGAGAUCUCGGUGGGCACCGGGGAGAACGAGCGAUGCUCAGAGGACAGCCACGUGGGAGGAGAGGUGAGCUGCAGAGCGCUGAAUGGCCCGGCAUCAAGAUGAUCAAUUAAGAUAAGCCAAAAGGAGAGUAACAGUGGCGCCUUUAAAUGCUUCCUGUGAUGGCAGGAACGGGGCAGACGGAGGAAAGUACUGGCCCUCCCAGCGUUUGCUUUUCCCCACGGAACAGCGCUGGCACAAACAGGAAGCCGCAGACUAAAGGCUCCUGCCAUUUUGUGAAGAGGAGACAGGGGAGUGGUUGGGGGGAGGGGGGGACUGGGAGUGAAAAAAGUGAAUGCUGAGUCAGACUGAAAGUAAAUGUCUUCCAGAAUCCCCUUCCCCCCAAGCCUGGAAGGUGGUCUCUGCAGAGGUGCCUGAAAAAUGACUCUGCUAUGGGCCCCCAAUAAGGAGACCUCCAAAUGGAGGCAACGGGGCUAGGAAUGCAGAUACCUGUAAGAGCAUCGCCAGCCAGGAGGGCCUGGGUCUCCCUCCGGACACGCAGUCGAUGCACACGGGUACUGUGCAUUGAUUGGCUUUGUGUGAAGUGCGGUGUGGGGAGAUCGGCUUUCCCCCACGCGGUCGGCCACGUAAGGCCUCUGUAAUUCCUAAUGUUGGGCCUGAGAGACCACACGUGGGGCUGUGACCCGGAGUCAGACUCCCCACCUCUCGGCCGAACUUUCUUAUCCACAACCCAAGACCCAACUGGAUGUCGGUGGAAAGAGAUUUGUGGCAGCACACACAGAUCGCAAGUCUGCAUAUCUUAGGGCCGUUUGAGCAUCAGUCUGUCUUCUAAACCCUCAUUUGUUCAUUCGAGAUCUUUCCACAUGUACUUCCUGAGAACAGAUAUAUAAUACAAGUUUCCUGGAUUAUCUUGACCUUUGUUACUAUGUUCCUUUAAAAACACAACAACGUGAAGAGGCACAGGUUUCUUAGAAUGAGUAUAAACGGCCCAUUUCUCUUCAUCACGUAUUCCAGUGUUGUGAUGUUCACACCCCUGCACACCCACUCACCAUGUAACACCUGCGAGGAAAUUCCCCCAGAACCAAGGGCACCGCACAUGGGUGGUAAGAGCGGUCUGACUUGGCGUCGCCUCCUCUCUUUGUGGUCUGGGUGAAGUCGGCCUGCCCUAGGAGUGGCCAGAAGCAACUGUAUACGUUUUAAACUACUGAGUCAUCGAGGCUUCCUUUGCUUUCUUUUUUUGACAGAUAAAUAAGUAGAGCUUAGGAGGCUGUCAGAGGCCACCUAGGAGAAGGCAAUUUAGACUUCACACACUCUGGAAUUUUCUUGACUUGAAAUUUUCUUGUUGAGUUGAAAGGGAGGGAAAUAGCUUCUUAACAGGUCUUCCUUGUUUAUUUCACCAGCCAUCUGACUGACUCCACAAAGGCAUGAAAUGUGUCUUUCAGUUUUAUAGUCCUAGUACCUAGCACAAUCCUUGGCAAAGAAAUUAUGAAUAUUUCAUAAAUAUCUGUUCAAUAACAACUUUCAGGGUGCCUGGGUGGGUGGCUCAGUCUUUUGGGCGACCAAUUCUUGAUUCAGCUCAGGUCAUGAUCUCACAGUUCGUGCAUUUGAGCUUCAUGUAGGGCUCUCUGCUUAUUGCAUGGAGCUUGCUUCAGAUCCUCUGUCUCCCUCUUUCAGGCCCUUUCUGACUCACACUUUCUCUCUCUCUCAAAAAUAAACAAACAUUAAAAGAAAAACAACUUUAAAUUCCCCAGAGAUCCUCUGCGGGCUCAGGACUGAAUCUGCUAACAUGGCUGCCAUGGUCAUGCGGGGUCUCCCUCGAGGUAGCUGAGCAAUCUGGUUCAGUGCGUAGACCCUUAUAGCUAGACUUCUGGCUUCAAAUCCUGACCCAGCUCCUUCCUUUCAUUGUGCCUUUGAUCCAGUUACUUCAGUUUCCUCCUUUGUAAACUGGGGCUGUCUCAUAAGGUUGAUAAGAGCAGAAUAUGAGUUAAUAUUUAAAACUACUUAGACUGGGCGGGGGGCAUAAAGUUGGGAACUAUUUGUGCUGAUAAGUAAAGAAAGCAGUUUUCCUAGUUCUCUGGACAUUUUCAAUGACAGCAAACUGAUGGAUAUCUCACUAACAUGCCCUGGUUUUAAUUUCAUCAGAAAACGUCUCUGUCAUUCUGUGUUAACAAAUUCUCAGGUCAUUCCUACUAGAGGAAAGAUAUUAUUGCCCCCAUUUCAGAGAAGGAGAGGCUGCAGUACAGACUGGGGAAGAGUAGCUAGCUAGCUCAGUAGAACUGGCGCUCCCUAACUUAUUGAACCCCAACAGAGGAAGUGUAGACGUGGGAGGCAAGCAGAGACAGGGAAGUGCGUAUUGAAUUGUGACAAGUGUUCUGUGAAACCUAUUUCUUAGUCAUAGUUUACCCAUGAGUGUCACCGGCUGAAAAAUGGGUUGUGCACAAACCAUAACACCUCUGGAGACAGUGGCACAUGUUAACUCAGGAUUUCCUGGAAUUUAGUUGAUGCCGUUGGACAUUAUGCGAUGCUCUCCAGGUCAGGGAGUUCAUAUCCAUGCCGUGAUCUGCAGGGACUUUCACAUCAGUAGAAGUAGGUAGCCUGAAGGCUCACAGAUGAACUUUCAUAACAAGCUUCCAUUCCGGAUAUGGAUGAGUUUUAAGAAGCAAUU